ensembl:snRNA U6 U6 spliceosomal RNA
GUGCUCGCUUCAGCAGCACAUAUACUAAAAUUGGAACGAUACAGAAAUUAGCAUGGCCCCUGUGCACGGAUGAUGCAUGGAUUCGUGAAGUGUUCCAUAUUUAA